UACAGAGGUGGCAAGCGUUGUUCGGAAUUACUGGGCGUAAAGGGCGCGUAGGCGGUUCGUUAAGUCCUGUGUGAAAUCCCCCGGCUCAACUGGGGAACUGCACAGGAAACUAGCGGGCUUGAGUUCGGGAGAGGGAAGCGGAAUCCCGGGUGUAGCGGUGAAAUGCGUAGAUAUCCGGAGGAACACCGGUGGCGAAGGCGGCUUCCUGGACCGACACUGACGGCUGAGGCGCGAAAGCUAGGGGAGCAAACGGG
rnacentral:rRNA from 1 species